ensembl:lncRNA
AUCUUCAUGAUCUCUAAAUCUAGAUCUAGAUCAUGGGCUGUUCAUCACUAGAAGUCUUCAUGAUCUCUAAAUCUAGAUCUAGAUCGUGGGCUGUUCAUCACUAGAGAUCUUCAUGAUCUCUAAAUCUAGAUCUAGAUGGUGGGCUGUUCAUCACUAGAGAUCUUCAUGAUCUCUAAAUCUAGAUCUAGAUCGUGGGCUGUUCAUCACUAGAGAUCUUCAUGAUCUCUAAAUCUAGAUCUAGAUGGUGGGCUGUUCAUCACUAGAAGUCUUCAUGAUCUCUAAAUCUAGAUCUAGA